CUGGCCGUGAAGGAUUUUCCCCUGUGACUUUGUCUGUUCGCUUCCUCCUCUUCCUGAGGUUUUGUGCCCGGCCCGGACAUCAUCCCCCUCGCUCAGUUUUAGCCGGGACCUUCCUGGGCGAGGAUGAGACGCCCGCUCCGGCCAGCUCAGCCGCCAGAAUAAUCCGUACAGUGGACCCGCCACUUCUUCUGGGCUCAGAGGCCUUCCAUCCAUUCCCUCUCUUCAAUCUUUCAGCAUCACAUUUGGGGUCGGCAAACUCCUGCCGUAAGGGGCCAGAGAGGACCUGUUUCCAGCUCUGGUGGCCACCAGGUCUCCGUCGCAGCCCUGAACAACAUGAGGUGCCGCGUUGCCUGGCUGAUGAGGAAGCUGAGGCUCACAGAGAGGCCAGGUGCCCAAGGUCACGGGCCAGGAUUGCACCAAGUUCAGAGCCUUGACCUCCACGUCCUACGGGCAUCAAACGGACACAGGUCUCUCAGAAAUCCACACAGAUGCCACCUCGGUCUGUAUGGGGAGAACCCUCUUGCCCCCCACCCCACCACCAUGUCCCCAUCUCCGGCCAGGGGGGUGGCUUUUCCCGUCUGCUGGGGAGACGGUGCGGGGAAUCUGUCGCUUGCCUUGCUCUCUAUCUGCCGGGGGCUUCUCUGCUGAGGGGAGGGGGUGCCGCAGAAGCCCAGGGCUUGCCCUCUGUCUGGCACCUGCACCCCCCACUCCCCAGCUCCCUGUGUCCCCUCCCAUCUUCUCCAGCCCUCGGCCCCUCUCUCUGAGAACCACAGACACUCAUUGAUCCAGACGCUUGAAAACAUGUGGUCAGAGCUGUGGACAAGGGAUCCACGGUGCGUCACGCCUUGUCCCCCACCGGCUGGGUGUGGGAUCCUCGAUUCAUUAUCAGACCUCCCCUGGGCACACACCAUGUGCCAGGCUCCGGGCCAGAAGCGGACGUGAACAAGAGGGCUCAGCGCUAAACCAGAAGGCGGGGGACCGAGGCCCGGCUGGGCGGAGAAGCCAACAUCUCAGACCCACGGGGAGCCAGACGAAGGAGGCUGUGCGUAGCAUGACUCAAGGAGAGCAUUCCUGCACCUCCUGGAAGAGGCGGCUGUGGCACGAGGCAACAUUCCAACAGGCAGCAGAGCGGGGAGACACCCUGCAGCAUUUGAAGGGCCUGGAAUGCCAAGGAGAAAAACCUGAAGGCCUUGGCAUGAGCCUGACACCAUGUGGGUCUGGGUCGGGGCCCUGCCUCUUGCAAGCUGGAUGGCUUUGGGUCACAGUCAGCACUCAAUAAAGAAUACUGCUGUUA